GACAGAGGGUGCAAACGUUGUUCGGAAUUACUGGGCGUAAAGCGCGUGUAGGCGGCUCUGCAAGUCAGGUGUGAAAUCCCACGGCUCGACCAUGGAAGUGCACUUGAAACUGCAGGGCUAGAGUCCUGGAGAGGAAGGUGGAAUGCUUGGUGUAGAGGUGAAAUUCGUAGAUAUCAAGCGGAACACCGGUGGCGAAGGCGGCCUUCUGGACAGUGACUGACGCUGAGAUGCGAAAGCGUGGGGAGCGAACAGG
rnacentral:rRNA from 1 species